AUGGAUUUUAUUGACUGGUGUUUGGAUCCUGGUGAUCAGAGUUUGAAUCUGAUAUUUGAUGACGAGGAUCAGCUGAUCUCAGGUUCUGUUCAGUUUAACCCUGAUUUCAUCUGGAAUCUGUGGUUUCACUUCUUUACAGAGUGGAACUGUACAACCCAAAACAUCCACAAAGAUCCAAAACAUCCACAAAGAUCCAAAACAACCACAAAGACCCAGAACGUCUACAAAGAUCCAAAACAACCACAAAGACCCAGAACGUCUACAAAGACCCAAAACAACCACAAAGACCCAAAACAACCACAAGACCCAAAACGUCCACAAAGACCCAGAACGUCUACAAAGACCCAAAACAACCACAAAGACCCAAAACAACCACAAGACCCAAAACGUCCACAAAGACCCAGAACGUCUACAAAGACCCAAAACAACCACAAAGACCCAAAACAACCACAAGACCCAAAACGUCCACAAAGACCCAGAACGUCUACAAAGACCCAAAACAACCACAAAGACCCAAAACAACCACAAGACCCAAAACGUCCACAAAGACCCAGAACGUCUACAAAGACCCAAAACAACCACAAAGACCCAAACCAUCCACAAGAACCAGAACGUGCACAAAGACCCAAAACAACCACAAGACACAAAACAACCACAAAGACCCAGAACGUCUACAAAGAUCCAAAACAACCACAAGACCCAAAAUGUCCACAAAGACCCAGAACGUCCACAAAGACCCAGAACAUCCACAAAGACCCAGAACGUCUACAAAGACCCAAAACGUCCACAAGACCCAAAACAACCACAAAGACACAGAAUGUCUACAAAGACCCAAAACAACCACAAAGACCCAGAACGUCUACAAAGACCCAGAACAACCACAAGUGUUUAGUUGCUAUAACAGCCUGGAACAGCCUGGAACAGUUCAAGGGCCUGAGAGCAGUUGAAAUCUUUUACCACAGUUUUAAACGUCUCUCUUCAGUCCGGCUUCUGAUCACAUGUGGUUUAUAA
rnacentral:lncRNA from 1 species